rnacentral:rRNA from 1 species
UAUGAGAAGGCCUUCGGGUUGUAAAGUACUUUCAGUAGGGAGGAAGGUGGUUAAGCUAAUACCUUAAUCAUUUGACGUUACCUACAGAAGAAGCACCGGCUAACUCCGUGCCAGCAGCCGCGGUAAUACGGAGGGUGCAAGCGUUAAUCGGAAUUACUGGGCGUAAAGCGCAUGCAGGUGGUUUGUUAAGUCAGAUGUGAAAGCCCUGGGCUCAACCUAGGAAUCGCAUUUGAAACUGACAAGCUAGAGUACUGUAGAGGGGGGUAGAAUUUCAGGUGUAGCGGUGAAAUGCGUAGAGAUCUGAAGGAAUACCGGUGGCGAAGGCGGCCCCCUGGACAGAUACUGACACUCAGAUGCGAAAGCGUGGGGAGCAAACAGGAUUAGAUACCCCG